rnacentral:lncRNA from 1 species
CUUAAAAAUAGCUGAAUUUUACAGUGCUGGAAUGGAUACCAUUUUGAUAUUGAUCAGCCUUCACAGAGGUGAUAUUUAAACUAUCAUGUUUUUCAGUUUACACAGGAGUAAUGUUAAGGAUGUUUAACCACCAUGUGGAGCUGACAGUCACCUGGGACACAGAACUGUGCCGGCCACAUCAUGGGGCUCAGUGGGCACCACACGGCCCCUCCUUGCUGCAGGAAAGUUGGUUCUGAGUCCCCAGUGGGCAUGGGGCUGUGGUCGCCCUGGGCUCCAUGACACCUACCAACGUGGGUACACACAAGCACAGGAGGGCGCACGGGGCCCAGCCCUUGUCCUCACCGGUCUCUCUGCCCUCCCUCUCUCAUCUUUACGAUCCUGUCACCAGGGAUGGUGACAGUAACCAGGACAGGUGCUGACGUUUGCUGUGAUGUGCUGCGUCCUUCACCCCAGCUCUCUCUCGAUGGAGCAACCCCGGGAGGCAAGAUGCUUCUGUGAGCAGCAGGCUCCACUCUGCACCUCCAGCCCGCAGGAGCCAGGGCCACGUUCAGAAUGCAGGAAGCUGGUGGGCUCUGAGCUCAGCCGGAGAUUUUGGAGAGGGGAUCAGCACAGGACACACUCCUGGCUCAUCACGUGUGCACAUCCCCAGGGUCACCACCGAGGCACCCCUUGUCCUCUCCCGGAAACACUGGCAUCAAGGGCUCUACUCCGCUCUUGCUGACCUGACGUCUGUUUAUGAAGCUACCUGUGCCGACGCUCAGGGCAGACCCCUCACCACGGCUCCCCAGCGGAGCUAGAACAAACGCA